rfam:Pan troglodytes isolate Yerkes chimp pedigree #C0471 (Clint) chromosome 3, whole genome shotgun sequence.
GCCGGGCGUGGUGGUGCAUGCCUGUAAUCCCAGCUACACGGGAGGCUGAGGUGGAAGGAUUGGUUGAGCCCGGGAUGUGGAGGUUGCAGUGAGCUGAGGUGGCAUCACUGCGCUCCAGCCUGGGCAAUAGAACGAGACUCCAUCUCUA